rnacentral:rRNA from 1 species
AACGUAGGUGGCAAGCGUUAUCCGGAAUUACUGGGCGUAAAGGGUGUGCAGGCGGGGUUGCAAGUGGUGUAUGAAAUAUCCCAGCUUAACUGGGAGGGGUUAUGCCAGACUGCAACUCUAGAGGACGAGAGAGGGGGGUGGAAUUCCGGGUGUAGUGGUGAAAUGCGUAGAGAUCCGGAGGAACCCCAGAGGCGAAGGCGGCCCCCUGGCUCGUACCUGACGCUGAGGUGCGAAAGCGUGGGGAGCAAACAGG